rnacentral:rRNA from 1 species
CAAUACCUAGUGGCAGACGGGUGAGUAACACGUGGUCAACCUACCUUCGAGUGGGGGAUAACUAGCCGAAAGGUUAGCUAAUACCGCAUAAAACGUACCGGGGCAUCCCGAAACGUUAAAAGGAGCAAUCCGCUUGAAGACGGGACCGCGUCCCAUUAGCUAGUUGGUGGGGUAACGGCCUACCAAGGCUCCGAUGGGUAGCUGGUUUGAGAGAGCGACCAGCCACACUGGGACUGAGAAACGGCCCAG